rnacentral:rRNA from 1 species
UACGUAGGGUGCAAGCGUUAAUCGGAAUUACUGGGCGUAAAGCGUGCGCAGGCGGUUAUGCAAGACAGAUGUGAAAUCCCCGGGCUCAACCUGGGAACUGCAUUUGUGACUGCAUGGCUAGAGUACGGUAGAGGGGGGAUGGAAUUCCGCGUGUAGCAGUGAAAUGCGUAGAUAUGCGGAGGAACACCGAUGGCGAAGGCAAUCCCCUGGACCUGUACUGACGCUCAUGCACGAA